UUGCAGCCUCACAAAAACCUCAUCUUUUCAUCAAACUCAAACACUAUUGCCUCUGUUUUAACAUCACAUAAAAAAACAGAGACGUUGGUCGUGAAAACCAUCCACGAUGCUGGCUACAUCUUCAUUGGAGCCCUAAAGUGGUCAGGUCUCUUCAUUGUUGAAGGUCAGGUGGACUAAUUACGUAUUCAAAGCAGCGUCACUUCAUUCAUACAGAGCGUAUAAAAAGCAAGGGGAAGUACCUCUCCUGGCUUGAACACACACCUGCCUUAGUGCUGAUGGACUUCAAUGCUUCUUUCCAUUCCUUAAUCUGUUUUCCACUAGAGGUUUCCGCGAGCGUCCAGAAGUUUUUACCAAACUCAGUGCCAUGUGUCGGGUUUCCAACAUCUUCUGGCUCCACCUUGUAGAAGAUUGGUAUGACUAUGAGCUUGUUUUUUCCCUUUAAUUCCAUCAUCUUUACUAGUUCGUCCAAGCACCAUGCUGACUCUGAAUACCUAUAAUUAAUACAAUUAUUAUGAUUCUUGAAUUUUA